rnacentral:rRNA from 1 species
GUAGGUGGCAAGCGUUGUCCGGAAUUAUUGGGCGUAAAGCGCGCGCAGGCGGUCCUUUAAGUCUGAUGUGAAAGCCCACGGCUCAACCGUGGAGGGUCAUUGGAAACUGGGGGACUUGAGUACAGAAGAGGAAAGCGGAAUUCCACGUGUAGCGGUGAAAUGCGUAGAGAUGUGGAGGAACACCAGUGGCGAAGGCGGCUUUCUGGUCUGUAACUGACGCUGAGGCGCGAAAGCGUGGGGAGCAAGCAGGGAUUAGAUACCCUGGUAGUCCACGCCGUAAACGAUGAGUGCUAAGUGUUAGGGGGUUUCCGCCCCCUUAGUGCUGCAGCUAACGCAUUAAGCACUCCGCCUGGGGAGUACGGCCGCAAGGCUG